CAUGUCCCGCAGUGCGUCCAGUCUUCCUGCCAGCAAGUGUGGAUUACACUAUCCUGGCCCAUAAGACUUGCAGCAUUGCUGGGUGUGGUGGCUCAUACCUGUAAUCACGGCAUUUUGGGAGGCAGAGUGGCGGAUCUCUUGAGUCCAGGAGUUCAAGACCAGCCUGGGCAACAUGGUAAAAAAAAAAAAAAAGAGAGAGAGAGAAUGAGAAAGAAGAAAAGAAAAUAAUUAGCGGCUCAGGCCUGUAAUCCUAGCUACUUGGGACGCUGAGGUGGGAGAAUUGCUUGGGCCCUGAAGGGAGGUAGAGGCU
rnacentral:lncRNA from 10 species